CUAGCGACUUCAGAGUUUGAUCCUGGCUCAGGACGAACGCUGGCGGCGUGCCUAACACAUGCAAGUCGAACGGGGUGAAUUCCUUCGGGGAUUCACUUAGUGGCGAACGGGUGAGUAACGCGUGAGAAACCUGCCUUUCAGUGGGGGACAACAGUUGGAAACGACUGCUAAUACCGCAUAACAUCCUUAGGGGGCAUCCUCUUGGGAUCAAAGCUUUAUGUGCUGAAAGAUGGUCUCGCGUCUGAUUAGCUAGUUGGCGGGGUAACGGCCCACCAAGGCGACGAUCAGUAGCCGGUCUGAGAGGAUGAACGGCCACAUUGGGACUGAGAUACGGCCCAG
rnacentral:rRNA from 1 species